UGAGCUCGGUAUCGAUGGCAAUAUCAGCGAAAGCUGAUAGAUGGAGGUAGUCUGAUUUUAUUUAUCAGGACGGUUUAUACCGCGAACAGCUCUGAGAGCUGGGGAGCCUCGUAAAAACUCAACUUAUUGUCGCCUUGAUGCACAGAUACCCGCUA
rnacentral:sRNA from 15 species